rnacentral:rRNA from 1 species
CCUACGGGUGGCAGCAGUAGGGAAUAUUGCUCAAUGGGGGAAACCCUGAAGCAGCAACGCCGCGUGGAGGAUGAAGGUUUUCGGAUUGUAAACUCCUUUUGUUAGAGAAGAUAAUGACGGUAUCUAACCAAUAAGCACCGGCUAACUUCGUGCCAGCAGCCGCGGUAAUACGGAGGGUGCAAGCGUUACUCGGAAUCACUGGCGUAAAGAGCGCGUUCGCGGGAUAGCAAGUCAGAUGUGAAAUCCUAUGGCUUAACCGUAGAAUUGCAUUUGAAAAUGUUAUUCUGGAGUAUAGGAGAGGUAGGUGGAAUUCGUGGUGUAGCGGUAAAAUGCGUAGAGAUCAAGAAGAAUACUCAUUGCGAAGGCGGCCUGCUAGAACAUAACUGACGCUGAUGCGCGAAAGCGUGGGGAGCAAACAGGAUUAGAUACCCUUGUAGUC